GGCAGGGCCAGCCCAGAGGAGCUCAGGUGCAUGCAAUGUAGCUGAGUGAUGGAAGGGGUGGAGCCAGGAUCCACUCCUGCACAGACCUCAUUUAAGGGCUGGCAGUGGGCAUGAGGGUGUUUUGCUGGAGACCUCUCCCUCCUGGAGGCCUUCUGAAGGCCCUCCAGUGGCACUGCACACAUGGGUAUGCAAUAGAUUUGAACCUGGAGCUCGAAGUGCUCCCCUCCAGCAGCAGCAGCAGCAGGGCUGCAGACAAUUUUGUGGAGCUGAGCAGGGCGGCAAUGAAUACUGCAAUGUUCUGCAGUGACCCCUCGGAGCCAUCUGGAGGUGGCGUGGGCCCACAGGAGGCAGAGGAGGCUCUGCAACGCAAAGAUUUACUUUCCAUGCUGUUACCAUCCCUUUUGCCUCUGCAUAAGAAGCAUGCAGAUAUCUGCUGUAGUUUGGCAGACUCACCCACGAUUCAUUGAAGACUGUGCUGUAUGAAAAUACAGGAAGAUUGGAGUGGGAGUACUGGAAGAUGAUGGAAGAGAACACUGCUGAAUGAAGGUGCUCAAAAAGUUUGUUGCUGUAAAGAGAAGAAAUAAUUGAUGCUGGGAUGCAAAAUCCCCUCAAGUGAAGGCAUUGCACACUGGGAAAAUUACAUGUCCUGCCCUGCGGCCUUGCUGUGACCGCACGCUGCCUUGACAGUGAUCACUGGCUGGAACGAUGUGCUUCGCCAAGGUUGUCUUUAUUUAGACAAGGCUGCUGCUUUCUGAACUGCUUGCGGGAACAGAGGGGUCAUGCAGUAACCACUCUGCACCUCCUGUGUCAGAGGACUGUGGCGCACUCAGGGGAACACGCCUUUGGUAUUUUUCUAUGUUCUAACAGGGAAAACGGGGUAUUUGGAAUAAAGCAGCAAUGAAACAGACAGUAAGGUGGGCUUUUCUUUGAGUAUAACCCCAGAUUCUGGUCAGUCCAGCCUGAUCCCAGACAGAUAGCCAUGGCAGCAGCCUGAGCUCAGGCAUGGCUUCAUCUUCCUGCCUUUCCUGUAUUAAAGAACAUGGCAGCUUGCACUACAAAUAAUGUAUCUGUGCUGUUUACUACCACUGCCAGCAUUCCAGGAGAGCCAGAAGGGUCUGACACAGAUCGGCCUCUGGUUGUUGCCACAGCACCUGCGGAUGGUGUUUGUACUGAGGUCACAUUCAGAUGCAAGAAAGGUUACAAGCUGCCAAUAAUAAGAGUAACAAAAUACAGAUUUCCUCAGACCAGUGGCAAAGCCAGGAAUGGAGCUCAGGUUACUGCCUGCUAAACUUACAGCCUGUCCCAAAUUUAUACCAGAUGAGUGUAACAGGUUGGCAUGGAGUUAGUGCAAUUAAAUUCCAUACAUGUGGGUAACCCUUUGUUUAGUUACCAAGCCUAAACUCAAGAGCUGGGGUAGGAAACAAAGUGCAUAUGAUGCAAUGUGUAUUUUUUUAAAACUGGAAAACCAAAUUCAGGGUUGUGAGCCUGAAUCUCAGUUAGUAUAGGCUGUGAAUUCUGAUGAGUCUGUGCAGAACAACAGGAUCUGAGCGUGGGUGUUGGUUUCAUAUCCCAACACAGAAGAUUUGGGAUGAAUAUUUCAUAAGUUCACAAAGGUCCUGAGGAAUAUGCAUGAUAAAAAAAGUACUGGUUAGUUUGAAAGAGGUUAACAGCUUUCUAAAUAGAAUAAAGUAGAUAUCAUGGGGCUCUCAGCUAGAUAAAUGCAGGCAUAUUUCCUAAUUUCUCUGCUGCAAAACAGUCCUCUACUUCUCGCUGAGUCUUUUCCUUUUAUAAGGUGAGGACUGGAGGACUCAGACAAAACAGAUGAUGUUUGGUCAGAUGAGGGUUUAAAUCUGGCAGCUAAUGUUGCCCAUAGCACUGCCUGCGCUGAAGAGAGAGAAAUUGUGCAGUAGGCAGGUAAUUCAUAACCCUGGAGAGGUAUCUGAAUAACAGGACAGAAUUGCUCUGUUACAGCUCCAGCCCCUGCAGUGAAAUCCAUCUGCAUGCAUUGCACCCAACCUGUUGGUCACAUCCAUGAGUGCCCCUGGCACAUACAGCCUUCCUACCACAUUGGUGUAGUUCAUGUGAUACACACUCAUACUGAGCAAUCCAUGAAUGGGUCUGUACAGCCGUCUAAGAGGGACAGUGUUACAGUCAUGUGGUCAUAAUAAAUCAUAAAUCUGUGCCACCCCUUUAACAAAUGAUUUCCCCAUCUACAUGCUAAAGUUGAGGUACAAAUUUUUUUUUUUUUUUUUUUUUUGCCAAUAUCUUUGCUGAAAUCGAGUGUUUGGAUGGAUUAUGUGCAUGACUUUCCUUUUAAAUACCACUAAACUGAUGUUUGUGAUGUGCUUGAUUGACUGUUAAUGAAGGAUAAACUGGGGUUACAAACACAACUCUGUGUUGCCUCAACUCUUACUCUGCCCUGGAGUCAAUUCUUAUCUGUGUGGCUGCAUUUGGGUAUGGGAGAAAACUUCAAAUACUCAUAAUCAGAAAAAAAAAAAAAAAAAAAGUUCUCUAAUAUUCAAAGUCUUUAAUAUAGGCUUUGCUGGAACAUCAUUUGAAAAGUGUAAUUCCACAUUUCACAUAAACCAUCACAGUAACUCUUGGAAUCAGAAGCAGAGAGGCUGAUCCUCCCUUCAUCUGCACAGCCCUCACCUCUGCUGUCAUUAGCAGGUUCUCCAACCACUACCAAUGCAGGUGGUUUUUUGUUCACUAAACUUCCAGAAUGUAACUUCAUGGCCCACACAGGAGCAAUCCUUCUCUACCUGAACACUUAGACAGUGAAAAGAUAUCCACGUCUGCCUGUGCAUGGACACAGAUGUGCAAACAAAAUAACCAUCUUGAGUUUUAUUUCCUUACAAAAAUUUAAGAAGUCAGGCUCAAAGAAGAGGAGGAAGAGGAAAUACUGCUUGGGCUUCCCAGUCAGUCAUUUGUGAAAUAAACAAACACGGAAUCGAUUUGUUUUGUAUUUCAGCAUGAAAACAGACUGAAAUCUGCGUGGGAGUUGAAAUCAAAGCAUAAAUAGAUGUAAAAAAAAAAAAAAAAAAUCCAGUGGAGGAUCUAAGGGCAAAAAGCCACCUGGGAAGGGCCAGGAUGACCCCACCAGGCUGUCCCGUGCGGUGGGUACCCUCUGGCUGCUAUGCAUGGAGGUCCCCAAAGAUCUGAACCAAAGGCUCCGAGGGCAGCCCUUCCUCCAGCAGCACCGGGAGGAGCAGGCAGAGCUCCCAGAGCUGGCAGAACAGCACCUGGAGCAGAAGCUGAGCAUGAAGCUGGCCAGCUGGGAAAUGAGCUAAUGAGGUGCAGAUGGUAUGAUUCUUAGAGCACAAAGUGCAGGUCAUGGCUGCUGUUGCUCUCCUGGGAAGCUGGAAAGAAGGUGGUUCUGCUGCUCUGUUUCUCCUGCUGGUAUUUUGCCCAGCUAGCUGUGUGCUACAAAUGAGCUGGUGCUCUCUAACAGCACUAGGAAUGGCCUUUGUUUGCCAUUAAUGUUAAAAAGAGAUCAGCUAUUUACAGACGGCUUGGUAGUUGUUCUUUCCUGAAUGCUUCCUUGUGUCUUGAGUUCAUAGUGCUGCUGGAGCACACUAGGAAGGGUGCCUUUCUGCAACAUCCAUGUGCUGCAAGUGAGGUUCAGGCAGCUCAGCCCAAACCUGGCUCACACCAUCCAGCUGCCAGCCUUGGCAUUCAGCUUGUAGAAGGCUUUGACAAGGUAUUUAUUUUAUUUUUCCUCUCUUAGUUCUUAUUUAAAUCUUUUUGCUUUUCAAUGUAUUUGCACAGAAAAAAUGCAUAUUGUAUCUAAGGUCACUAAGUUUUAUGUCAGUUUGAAACAGAACUUAAGCUUGUGAGGUGCAAGAAAUGACUCAUCUUGUUAGAAAGUCCUGAAAAGUUUCCUGGAUGACUUAAUAAAUGGUAAAGAUAAACAUGCAUUCAGAAAACAGACACUGCUUUAACUGACUAGGCUGUGUGCAGUGGGAGGCAUGGUGCAAAAGGCAGCUGCAGGUCCUGUCUCCUGCAGAGGUUCUCUGCCUACACUGUGUUCUCAACUCUGUUCUAGGACCUCAGCGAAUCCUGUUUGCAAAUUGCUGACCCUCUAAAUUGCCCAUACAUUGAUGAGAUAAAGAGAAGAUCCCAGUCUGGGUGGGGUGAAGGCCAAGGACAGCAUGCAGCACUAGCAGUGCUGAUUUGCUGGCACAGAAAAGUGUCUUCAGAAAGUCCAGAUCUCACAGAAAAACUUCCAGAGUGAAUUAAGCCUCAGAAUACCAAAAAGUCGCCUCAGUAAUUGCUAAGCACGCCCAGUUAUUCACACAAUGUUCGCUAGUUCCUCUAUUUAAUUGGAUUCUUGAGCAGAAUUUCAAUUGCAUCUCUUCAUUUUUCAAGCACAAAGAAAUAGUUUUAAACUCUGUAAAUAUCAGAAAGGAUUGUUAUCUUUUACACACAUCCAAGCAGACCGGUUCCUGUAUUAACACUAAAAAGAAACCAAAACCCAGACAGAGAAACGUGCUGGAAUAAUAAGAGGUAAUCUUCAGACUGUCUACUGGAUGACAAUUGAAGAGCCCAAAGCCACUUGUCACAUACAGCCAGCAUGAAGCAUACCUCAUGGAGCAGCAUUUGGAGCGUGGGCAUUGCUGAGCUCUCACCUGGGUCACUCAUUUUAAUCUUAAUGGGAAAAAAAAAACAACACUUGAUGUGCUAGAAAUCUAAUGGAGAUACUGCAGCCCAAUAGGAAGAGAACCUCCAUCUCUCAGCACCCCUCAGACUAUGAGGCACCUUGUCUGACCUGCACAUCCCUUUGGACAUGUCUGAGUCUGGUCCUGGGCAAGUCAGGCUGACCCAGCCCAAGGAACAAGGCACUGAAAUCCACAAAUCAAGCAGCAUCUAUAUAGAUUUGUGCUGAUGGUGGUGUUGGUUCUGCUGGUGAAGAGCAGUUCAGUUGAGCUCAUGUUCAGCACACAGCACAGACUGAAGGUAUACAGAGAUCAGCUGUGAGGCAGAGCAUGAACAGCGGUAACUAGUUUGGAAUGGACUGCUCAGUUGGUUUGUUUCUACUUUAUUUUGCUUUGCUAACAGCAUUUAGGACAUUGUCUAAUGGAGCAGGAAAACAAAUACCCCUGAUGAGCUGGUAUGAUUGGCACUAGUAAAGAGGGGAGAAGCACAAAAUCAUUGGCUAAAUCUCUUGACUUCCCAGAAGACAGUACUAACAAGCUUGUCAGACAGCUGACAGAGAUCCUGACAUGAGGGAAAUCCAUUUUCCUUUUCAG
rnacentral:lncRNA from 1 species